rnacentral:lncRNA from 1 species
CUGAUUGCUAGAGAUGAUGAACAUUUUUUCAUAUAUUUGUUGGUUGGUGCAGACAUCUGAGAAGAUGUCUGUUCAGUUCUUUGGCCCAUUUAUUGAUUGGGUUAUUUAUUUAUUUAUUUAUUUUUUUGGUGCUUAGCUUUUUGAGUUCUUUACAUAUCCUAGAGUUUAGUGCUGUAUCUGAUAUGUGAGGGCUAAAAAUUUGCUCCCAAGAUGUAGGCUCUCUGUUCACCUCACAGAUUGUUUCUUUUGCUGAGAAGGAACUUUUCAAUUUGAGUUCAUCCCAUUUAUUAAUGAUUCUUGGUUUUAAUUCUUGAGCUAUAGGAGUCUUAUUAAGGAAGUUGGGGCCUAAUCCCACAUGAUGGAGAUUAGGGCCUACUUUUUCUUCUAAUAUACGCAGAGUCUCUGGUUUAAUUCCUAGGUCCUUGAUCCACUUUGAGUUGAAUUUUGUGCAUGGUGAGAGAGAGGGGUUUAAUUUCAUUUUGUUGCAUAUGGAUUUCCAGUUUUCCUAGCACCAUUUAUUGAAGAGGCUCUUUUCUCCAGUGUAUGUUUUUGGCGCCUUUGUCUAAUAUAAGAUAAUUAUAAUUUUGUCCCACAGCUUCUUUUAUCUUGCCAUCUUCCAUAUAAGGUAGGUACCAAGUUCUGACGCUUGAUUCUACCUCCUCAUCCUGCCUUUCCUCUUCCUUCUAUCCACACACCAGGUUCAGACUCUUAUCAUUUCUCUCUUAGAUUAUUCUGAGGAGGAGGAGAAAAAAGUCCCAAAGUGCUCUCUGUCCUAUUUUCUACUUUCAUCACAGAAUACUUCUGUGACCGUAGGUAUGUGGGGUUGUGUCCCCUCACACCAAGCCAACAGUUCUCUGUGGAUUCCAGCUGGGGUAUUUUAUAAUUUAUCUCAGAUUUGAUGCUGUCUACCUGGAGAUAGAGUCAGAUCCCACAGGUUGAGGGUUCAGUGCCAUAAGGGUGCCCCACAAUAGAUGCCAGGUGCAGGCCCCAGGGUGUAAUCCAUGCUGACUUUAGAGAGCAGACUGCGCCCUGCUCUGAGUUUCUCCGUGAUAUGUAGAACAGUAGUUCUCCGACGGAGCCUAAUCCUGAGUUAUUUCAUUUUAUAA